UUAUUCUUUCUAGAAUAUUUUUCUAAGUUCUUGAUUCGAUCCGAAGCUUAGAUCCAUCGUUGGAGAAAGCUAGUCGGAUUGACAUCAAUAGACGGUCAAGGGUAGAAUGUCGUUCUCUCGACAAUAAGGCCAAGGUGACUACCGAAGCAUGUGUAGUAGCACAUGCCAAGGUCUUAUUUGAUGUAUUAGUUUAUGAUUGAGGUUUCAUGUUUAUACAUUGUGUAAAUUAUGCAUAAAAGUUAGAUCUCCGUUUCUACGUGAGAUCGACUCGAUUGUUUGUUCUAGAUCUUCCUUUAUUCUUGAUUUAUUUUGGUUGAUCUAUUGAUUGAGGUUGUGAUAGUCGUUAUUAUAGUCGUUAUACUAUUCGUAUAAUCGUUAUGUUAUCGACAAAAUCCUUUUAGACUAUUGUAUAUCCGUUAUGCUGUUAGGCUGUUAGGCUGCAGGCAUUGUCGAUAUAUUAUUGUGAAGUUGCUUAUGCAAUUUUAUGAGGUUAGGCUAAAUGUUGGUAUAGCCGAUAUACUGCUUGUUCGUUUCAUGGUUAAUAAUUGGUAAUUAUUGGCAUGAUAAGCAAGCGUUAUUUAUUGUGUGUUGGUUAUUGUUUUGUUUAUUAUUAUGCAUUUUUGUUUAAUUGUUGUUUGAUUGAUUGAUUGAGUUUUUUUGUUAGUUAAUAUUGAUGUCGCUCGAUUGACUUGUAUGUUAGUAGUAUUAUUGUAAGUAAUAACAAUUACGUUAGGCUCGUAUUAAGUAGUGAUGUUAGUCAUUUAUAUGACUAAUGUAUAACGAGCUCAUGAUUGUCCCAAUGGCUCGGUUUGGCUCGCUACCACUGGGCACUACUUGACGGAGUAGUAAAUUUGGCCGUAAGGGAAAUGGUCCCUUUAUUCACGGUUUAGGGAAGGGAUGUGAUCCUUCUAGCCUUCGUAGACAUUGCCUUGGGGGAAAUCAUAGUCGCAUUAUUAGUAAAGGCCUUAAGGUUUGGUAGUUAUUUAUGAUGGCUUUUAUGCCAUACUGAUUGUGUUAUUUAACUUCCGUUGUGAAUACUCUGUAUUGAGUAUGAUUGCUUGUUUAAACAUUGAAUGUGUGCUGUGUGUGUUGAUUUUUGUUGAGGAUUUGGAUGGUUGAUUGUUAGAAAACCCGGACUCACUGAGUAAUCUUAAAUUACUCAUGAUUCUACCUUUUGUCUUACAGGUAACCUUAGUUGGGAGACUGAUGGGAAAGCACGGAUGCUAGAAGCCGGUGUAGAGUUUGUUGCCUUUGUAAAGAUAUAUUUGGAAUAUAUAUAUGACUCGAUUUGGGCAGUAGGCCUUGGCUAGCCAAACGCAUAUGUAUUUAAGGUAUUUUAAAGAUUAAUAAAAGUGAGUUUUCUUUAAAAGCCUUGUGUUCUACUCGAUAUUAGUCUUGUCAGGACUAACACAACUCGCGAACAUGGUACGGGUUGAAAAGCCUUAGGCCUUGUUCGAGAGGAACGAUACCCGCAGAUGGACUGACCAAGGUACUGAAU
rnacentral:lncRNA from 1 species